AAGACUAUAGACCUGCGGAGUACCUGCGGAAGGAUCAUUAAUGAAAUGAACUUGGUCGAGUUGAUUUGCUGGUCCUUAGGGACAUGUGCUCACUUGGCUAUUGUUUCUUUAACCACCUGUGCACCUUUUGUAGAUCUCGAGUUUCCCGACUCUUAUCAACCUUGGUUGGAUUGAGGCAUUGCUUUGCUGCAUGACCUCAAGGGACUCGGGUCUAUGUCUUUUUUUAUACACUCUGAUUGU
rnacentral:misc_RNA from 1 species